CCACAUUCCUGACUCAGAGAGGAUCUCCCUCUCUUCACCCAGGCAAGGGCUCUUCUGAAACCUUUAUGGACUCUGGGAGGCAAGAACAGUUGGAGAAAGACAGAGGGGAGGACAUGAAUAAGAAAAAUAGAUGCGAUCAACAACUAUUUACUGAGCAAGGCAUUUGGAACACAGAGAAACAGACCACCAGGAGGCGCCGCGAAUCAACAUCCCGGUUGCCGCUCUGCAGCGCCACCUUGAGGAGGAAUCCAUGA
rnacentral:lncRNA from 1 species